rnacentral:rRNA from 1 species
CCCUUAGAUGUCCUGGGCUGCACGCGCGCUACACUGAUGUGUCCAGUAAGCACCUAACCUCUUCCGAAAGGAACGGGUAACCUUUGCAAAGCACUUCGUGAUGGGGAUAGAUUAUUGCAAUUAUUAGUCUUGAACGAGGAAUUCCUAGUAAGCACAAGUCAUCAGCUUGUGUUGAUUACGUCCCUGCCCUUUGUACACACCGCCCGUCGCUCCUACCGAUUGAAUGUUCCGGUGAGCUCUUCGGACUGCGCGGUCUGCAGUUUCUGCGUUCCGUGCGGAAAGUUGCGCAAACCUUAACAUUUAGAGGAAGGAGAAGUCGUAACA